rnacentral:rRNA from 1 species
GGGUGAGUAAUGCCUAGGAAUCUGCCUGGUAGUGGGGGAUAACGUUCGGAAACGGACGCUAAUACCGCAUACGUCCUACGGGAGAAAGCAGGGGACCUUCGGGCCUUGCGCUAUCAGAUGAGCCUAGGUCGGAUUAGCUAGUUGGUGGGGUAAUGGCUCACCAAGGCGACGAUCCGUAACUGGUCUGAGAGGAUGAUCAGUCACACUGGAACAGAGACACGGUCCAGACUCCUACGGGAGGCAGCAGUGGGGAAUAUUGGACAAUGGGCGAAAGCCUGAUCCAGCCAUGCCGCGUGUGUGAAGAAAGUCUUCGGAUUGUAAAGCACUUUAAGUUGGGAGGAAGGGUUGUAGAUUAAUACUCUGCAAUUUUGACGUUACCGACAGAAUAAGCACCGGCUAACUCUGUGCC